rnacentral:rRNA from 1 species
UCUGCAAUGCCCGAAGCCGGUGGCCUAACCACUUAUGUGGAAGGAGCCGUCUAAGGCAGGGCAGAUGACUGGGGUGAAGUCGUAACAAGGUAAC